rnacentral:rRNA from 1 species
GCUCAGGAUGAACGCUAGCUACAGGCUUAACACAUGCAAGUCGAGGGGAAACGACAUCGAAAGCUUGCUUUCGAUGGGCGUCGACCGGCGCACGGGUGAGUAACGCGUAUCCAACCUGCCCAUCACUUGGGGAUAACCUUGCGAAAGUAAGACUAAUACCCAAUGACGUCUCUAGAAGACAUCUGAAGGAGAUUAAAGAUUUAUCGGUGAUGGAUGGGGAUGCGUCUGAUUAGCUUGUUGGCGGGGUAACGGCCCACCAAGGCGACGAUCAGUAGGGGUUCUGAGAGGAAGGUCCCCCACAUUGGAACUGAGACACGGUCCAAACUCCUACGGGAGGCAGCAGUGAGGAAUAUUGGUCAAUGGGCGAGAGCCUGAACCAGCCAAGUAGCGUGCAGGAUGACGGCCCUAUGGGUUGUAAACUGCUUUUAUAAGGGAAUAAAGUGAGCCUCGUGAGGCUUUUUGCAUGUACCUUAUGAAUAAGGACCGGCUAAUUCCGUGCCAGCAGCCGCGGUAAUACGGAAGGUCCGGGCGUUAUCCGGAUUUAUUGGGUUUAAAGGGAGCGUAGGCCGGAGAUUAAGCGUGUUGUGAAAUGUAGACGCUCAACGUCUGCACUGCAGCGCGAACUGGUUUCCUUGAGUACGCACAAAGUGGGCGGAAUUCGUGGUGUAGCGGUGAAAUGCUUAGAUAUCACGAAGAACUCCGAUUGCGAAGGCAGCUCACUGGAGCGCAACUGACGCUGAAGCUCGAAAGUGCGGGUAUCGAACAGGAUUAGAUACCCUGGUAGUCCGCACGGUAAACGAUGGAUGCCCGCUGUUGGUCUGAAUAGGUCAGCGGCCAAGCGAAAGCAUUAAGCAUCCCACCUGGGGAGUACGCCGGCAACGGUGAAACUCAAAGGAAUUGACGGAAGG